GUGGGGAAUAUUGGACAAUGGAGGCAACUCUGAUCCAGCCAUGCCGCGUGUGUGAAGAAGGCCUUUUGGUUGUAAAGCACUUUAAGCGAGGAGGAGGCUUACCUGGUUAAUACCUGGGAUAAGUGGACGUUACUCGCAGAAUAAGCACCGGCUAACUCUGUGCCAGCAGCCGCGGUAAUACAGAGGGUGCAAGCGUUAAUCGGAUUUACUGGGCGUAAAGCGCGCGUAGGUGGCUAAUUAAGUCAAAUGUGAAAUCCCCGAGCUUAACUUGGGAAUUGCAUUCGAUACUGGUUAGCUAGAGUAUGGGAGAGGAUGGUAGAAUUCCAGGUGUAGCGGUGAAAUGCGUAGAGAUCUGGAGGAAUACCGAUGGCGAAGGCAGCCAUCUGGCCUAAUACUGACACUGAGGUGCGAAAGCAUGGGGAGCAAACAGGAUUAGAAACCCGAGUAGUCC
rnacentral:rRNA from 1 species